rnacentral:rRNA from 1 species
GAUGAACGCUGGCGGCGUGCCUAAUACAUGCAAGUCGAGCGAACAGACGAGGAGCUUGCUCCUCUGAUGUUAGCGGCGGACGGGUGAGUAACACGUGGAUAACCUACCUAUAAGACUGGGAUAACUUCGGGAAACCGGAGCUAAUACCGGAUAAUAUAUUGAACCGCAUGGUUCAAUAGUGAAAGACGGUCUUGCUGUCACUUAUAGAUGGAUCCGCGCCGCAUUAGCUAGUUGGUAAGGUAACGGCUUACCAAGGCAACGAUGCGUAGCCGACCUGAGAGGGUGAUCGGCCACACUGGAACUGAGACACGGUCCAGACUCCUACGGGAGGCAGCAGUAGGGAAUCUUCCGCAAUGGGCGAAAGCCUGACGGAGCAACGCCGCGUGAGUGAUGAAGGUCUUCGGAUCGUAAAACUCUGUUAUUAGGGAAGAACAAAUGUGUAAGUAACUAUGCACGUCUUGACGGUACCUAAUCAGAAAGCCACGGCUAACUACGUG